rfam:Ixodes scapularis strain Wikel colony gcontig_1108378553198, whole genome shotgun sequence.
GCAGUCGUGGCCGAGUGGUUAAGGCGACGGACUAGGAAUCCAUUUUGGUCUCCCCGCACAGGUUCGAAUCCUGUCGACUGCG